UCGCAGGAGCCUCCGGGCUAGUCUGAAAAUAAUAAUUUGAGGAAUUAAGCCCCAAAGCUUCUGCUAGAUUGAUGCCAUUCGUGUUGCAGUUCUGUCUCAAAUCCUAUCUGGCUUAACUGUGUCAAAGCAAUGUCUAGAUUU
rnacentral:snoRNA from 2 species